CACUGGUCGAGAGCUAACGUCGCUCUCCUAAUGAGUACAAGACAGGACGAAACUAGUG
rnacentral:sRNA from 1 species